rnacentral:lncRNA from 1 species
GGGAAACGCUUAAUCACACCAAGGUAAUUAAUCUGCAAAGCAAAGGGAAAACCCUAACAAAGUAAGAGAAAGACGAAGACCAAAAUAAGAGGGCAUCAAGUGCCACACCAACCAAUCUGUAAACGGUCUACAAUUCGGACAGAUGGAGUAGUCGAAAACUGACAGCAAUAUUUAUGUUGGGUACGUAGCAGUAGUUGAUCAUUAAAAGAUUCAUAUGGAAACAACAGAUAAAAGAAAAAGUUAACCUCUGUCUCAAUCACUGCUACAUGCUAA